UACGUAGGUGGCAAGCGUUGUCCGGAUUUACUGGGCGUAAAGAGCGCGCAGGCGGUCGUGCAAGUCGCGUGUGAAAGCCCCCGGCUCAACUGGGGAGGGUCACGCGAUACUGCUCGACUCGAAGGCAGGAGAGGGAAGUGGAAUUCCCGGUGUAGUGGUGAAAUGCGUAGAUAUCAGGAGGAACACCGGUGGUGUAGACGGCUCACUGGACCGUAACUGACGCUGAGACACGAAAGCGUGGGUAGCAAACAGG
rnacentral:rRNA from 1 species